CGUGUGGUUCUAUUUUGUUGGUUUCUAGGACCGCCGUAAUGAUUAAUAGGGAUAGUCGGGGGCAUCAGUAUUCAAUUGUCAGAGGUGAAAUUCUUGGAUUUAUUGAAGACUAACUACUGCGAAAGCAUUUGCCAAGGAUGUUUUCAUUAAUCAGUGAACGAAAGUUAGGGGAUCGAAGACGAUCAGAUACCGUCGUAGUCUUAACCAUAAACUAUGCCGACUAGGGAUCGGACGGUGUUAUUAUUUUGACCCGUUCGGCACCUUACGAGAAAUCAAAGUUUUUGGGUUCUGGGGGGAGUAUGGUCGCAAGGCUGAAACUUAAAGGAAUUGACGGAAGGGCACCUCCAGGUGUGGAGCCUGCGGCUUAAUUUGACUCAACACGG
rnacentral:rRNA from 1 species